rnacentral:rRNA from 1 species
GCCUCCCUACGGGACGCAGCAGUAGGGAAUCUUCCACAAUGGGCGAAAGCCUGAUGGAGCGACGCCGCGUGAGCGGUGAAGUAUUUCGGUAUGUAAAGCUCUAUCAGCAGGGAAGAAAAUGACGGUACCUGACUAAGAAGCCCCGGCUAACUACGUGCCAGCAGCCGCGGUAAUACGUAGGGGGCAAGCGUUAUCCGGAUUUACUGGGUGUAAAGGGAGCGUAGACGGUCCUGCAAGCCAGAUGUGAAAGCCCGGGGCUCAACCCCGGGACUGCAUUUGGUACUGUAACGCUAGAGUGUCGGAGA